CUACUAUUCGAUACAACGACUGGAACCACACCACAGCAGCCAUCGCGGAUCUCUUCGCCGAUCCAUCCCCACCCCACCUGCCUCCUUCCUGAUCCCGACCUCCCGAACCCUACCUCGACGCCAACCGCGCCGCCGCCUCCUUCGACCCACCACUCCGUUCCAUUGAUCCACUCCGCGACGGCCAGUUCUCGCGGCAGUCGCCGCCCGCUCUUCUCCUCCUGGUCCACCUCCCCACCAAGCUCUCUCUCCUAGAUCGUGAGAUGGUAGCGGAGGCACAUAGGUUUCGGCUUCUCCACUAAUGGCGAUAUCAAGAGCUGGUGGAGGCCGGCCAAUGGACACGUCUCUCGCCCUCGCACGUAACGAAAAAAAUCAGCCAACAUGCCUCCCCUCGAUCCGUUUCCAACGCGGAUAGUCAAAGACGCCCCAGCCGCCAUAGCGGAGUCCUUCGCCGACACCGAGGUACGACAGGAGCCGACGCCCUCAUCCCUCUCUUUUCACACUCGCCUAUUUAGCUGGUCGUUGCCUCUCAGCGGUGACUACCCUAGCGGCGGUUGCGGGAAAGAUGGAUCCUUAUCCUCCCGAAAAUAGACUCGGCGCCCUCGUGGUUUGUAGCGGCACACUCCCUUCCCACGCCGCCGAAGAGGCCCCCAGGGCGGCCGACGACGCCUUUAGCGGCCUUCCGGAGACACAGCAAGUCUGGCCUACGGUGGGGUGGCGGCAUGCGCAGCAUGGUCGUCGUUUGAUUCAGGAGCGACCUCCGGCUGCUGAACAACCAGUCACUGGAGCACGUGUGGAUGGCCUCUGGCACUGUCCUCACCAAUGGAGGAGCCUCGCCUAUGCUGCAGUGCUGCAGGGCGGUGGUCGGGGUGGUCCGCACCGGCGCCUACAAUGUGUGCCUCAUCCUAACUGGCAAAGUGAUCUUCAGCCUCCCCAUCAACUACACCCUCGGCAUCUCCCUUCCGAGGAUCUGCAAGUCACUCCCCGUCCCGCUCGUUUGUAGAAUACGGCGACGCAGAUCCUAGCUCCAGAUGUCUUAAAUUCUCCUUUGUUGACCUUGCCUUGACAUCGCCUCGAUGUCUCGCAAUUCUUCCGCACUGUUGCCACCGGAUUCGUCGGUUGAUGAGAAGGCGCUGUUGCCGUGAGUGGAAUCGACGCCGAUCAUGCAGGGGCAGAGAUAGGUGGUGGUACCCAUCAUGCGUUGGUAGAUAUGUUUUUGCAAGUCUGUGUUACACUUGGUAUUGUGUGCGUAUGUAUGUAGUUAGACAAGUAAAUCUGUUUCAUGGAGGAGAGAGUGCAGCUCUGUGAAGAGUUCAUGAAUACUUCUGAAAGAAUGAUCAGCUGACAGUCUAUAAAAGGUAUAGAAAUGGCAUGCUUGGUCCAAAGUACAACAGUUUGUUGGCUUGCUUCGGACAGUCUUUCGCCGUGCUAUAUUUGUCAAGAGGUAAUGACAUAUGAGAAGCAAAGAGGAUCAAAUGAUUCCACAUACUGGGUAUUAUUUGAACUGAUAUGGGGGGCUACUUCAGAUUCCUUUUCAGCAAAAUAUGGGAACUCCAUUUUCUUGCAAGGGUAACCAUAGCAUCUACAUUGCUUUAUGCCUGAAACUGAGAGCUUUGGAACAGUGCUAUGCGCUAUUGGACAAGUAGAUACAGAGAUACCUAUCAUUGGUGGUCAGCAGCAAAUACGAGAAAUGUUAGAUACAUCCACACUCUUUCUUGAUCUAUGGUUAAUCCCCCUCUUGCCUACCAUAAGCUCUUGGUGAAUUACCAGAUUAAGCGGAAGUGCUAACCUAUUGUUGGUAGCAGUAGGAGAUGUUGAUGUUCCAUGGAAUUGUUAAUCCCGUCUCCAAGUUUUAAUGUUUGAUCUGCGUGUUAUUGACCUAAGAGAAAAUGGGUUCUGAAGCUUCGAUAUGAUGUAUUUCUAACAAAUAGCGACAAAAUCAAUACCUCACACGGGCAAUUACUCUUAUAUGGUUUGAUGCUUGAAAAAUUGUAGAGUCAGCACCUCUUAUUAAAGUGUACACGAUGCAAUAAAAAAAGCAUCUUGAGUACCAUGCCCAGGUACAGUUUUAAUGCUUAUAGCUGUAUUUUGCUCCAUUAGAAAAUACAACUAUAUUUUAUUCCUGAUAGGGCAAUCUUAUACGGGGAAAAUUACUCCUGAAUGUGUACAACUAUAUAAUGUUCCUACAGAUGUAUUUUGUUCCAUUAAAAACAUAGUAUUUCUGCUAUCUCAGUUGGAUGGCCACUGUUAUGUCAAUUUGAUGGCCACUAUGUUUUGCUACGGCAGAAGAUUCAACUAUAUUUUGCUAAUACAAGUACAACACUCAACCUCUGCUAUGCCAAUUCGAUGGCCACUACAUAUUCAGACGGGCAAUGAACCAAAUAACUCUUUCACUGGGCCACUGAUAAUAUUAUUGGUCGAGCUGAUUAGGGAAGUAAACUAUAUACAACAAUAAAGUGAAGUUGAACUGUUUAGAGAAGUAAAAUAUACAGAAGUAAUCUGAAGUACACUUGGAUCCAAAAGAUGUUGGUGGAAAUACUUCAACAAGCUUGAUGCAUUCAUUAUUCUGUAAUACUAGGAUUAACAAUGAUGUCGCUGUUGGUUACUUUGCAGGUAACAAUGUUACGCUGAUGACAUAGUUUAUUUAGCUCUCAAGAAUGGCUGCUUAUCGUUCAAGAAUCUGGACAACUACUUCUAUUUCGUAUUCAUACUAAAACUUCUAUGAAGCAACAAAUUUUCCUUCUUGUGAAUUUGUUCUGAAGCUACUAAAAUAUCCCCUUGUACUAAAAUAAGAUUUCUACUCAAAUUUUGUCAAGAUACUAAAUUUUACUUGCUUGCUCAUGCCUUAAAAUCUACCUUGUUGCCGAAAUUUAAUGAGGAGCUCAAGGGAAAAAAUGAACCAAGGAGAAGGGAUCCAGAGAAGGAGAAUUAAGAUGUGCCUUUCACUUAUAAUUUCUAAACACUACAGGAAUCAUGAUAUCGUGUUAGCAUAAUUGCAUGGUUACGUGUUAGAAGUGUGAAUGUGGGAGGCUUGGCCGGGGGAUUGUGAGCUGGAGAUUGUGGAGGAAAAUAAACAAGACUGAUUUGACUGUAAAAAAAUGUUGAUGUGCUUUUUAUGAAAUAUUUGGCCAAUCAUGUGUUGCAACGUGGGCACAUAUUUUCAUAGUUCUAUAUCAGUCAUAUCUGACAGAGAUCUGGAUGUUCGGUAUAUGAUAUGUAGUAUACUAUGCAGACCGCUGUUAAAUAUCAUAUACCCAGCCCGUGUACUACAUAUCAUAUAUCCACUCUGCACACUACAUAUCAUAUACCCAGUCUAAUGAACCAUGCGGUUCUGGCAUGAAGAAAAAUCCGUAUAUGGAUUUUUUUUCAUGGUUCAUGGGACCAACAACAUUGAAAGAGCAUUUCAGCUGUAUGAUUAGGCUUCUUGAAUUCUGACGUGGAGUAUGUGAUCGCGAGCUCACAGGAGCUCGGAAUCACGCCCGUCCAGAAUUGCUAUGAGAUUCGUCGCAUUAAAUGCUAUAGCCAGUUGGUGGGUCCAUGCCGACAAAGGAAAAUUAGGAUAUACGGCACAAUACGCGUCUGACAGAUGGGGCAAGGUGGACGGAGGGGUGCACGGCGUCGCCUGUGCAUGCCUGAGCCGUGGCUCGAGCUUGUCGCAGGCGUCCUGAUCCGUGGAUCAGGUACGGUGCUUUCUGCUAGCGCCGGCAGUGCCCGAACUAAAUGCAGUAGUUGGGUCAGUCGCUGGUUACGGGGGUGAAGUUGGAUUUGCCUCUCGUCCCGGUCGGUGAAGAGGUGGAGAUAUUUACUCCGGCGACGGCGACUGGGCGGUGCAGCGACCUCGGACAGGCUCCGGCGACCAUGGAGUUCUUACUGCAGCCGCUAAACAGUAGAACAUUCCUGGAAGAGGUGAAUGAUAACAACGGGGCAAUGGAGCCCGUGCGGUUCCCAGUAUCCGCGGUGGCUGAGGUUGAGGAUCCAGCACCGGCCGCUUCAAGUGCUGACGGGCAGAUCUGCGGGGCGGAGGCAGCAGGCGCGGACAUGGCUCAGUGCUCCGAGCACUCAAUGGAGCAAAUUGACCCAAAAACACCAGGGCGGACGCAAAGAGUGCAUGUAGGUGCUGCUGCUCUACGAAGGCCUCCGUGCCCGGACAGGGUCACGGCGCUGGAGAAGACUGACAGGGAAUUUGCCGAGCAUCCAGGUGACAUAGUUAUGGUGCCAAAGAUUGGAACAAAUUUUGACACGCUCGGAGAAGCUUAUGACUUUUAACUCCUGGAAGAAAGGAUUUGGAAUACGAUAUGGAAAGAGCAGGCUAAACGUUAGCAGGACUAAGUGUAUGCAAGAUAUAGUCUGUGGAUGCGCGGGGAAGCCAAUCGUUGAAAAUACUCGUUCAUGCCGGUGUGAAUGCCCAGCCCUCAUCAGACUACUGCGGACAAAGGACAAUGGAUGGUACGUAGCAGAGCACCGAGAUGGGCACAACCAUGCACUUUCCCAAACAUAUGGACAGACAAUACACUGGCCUACGGCAGUGAGCGCGGAAGCACGGAUCUGCGUGAUGGACACAGCAGCGGUGGUCAAUGAGGGACAGCUCGCGUCAGGCCUCGGAGCUCUGAACUGGAAAGAUGAAUCCACAUGCUUCUAUCUGGAAUUAGAGGAUAAAGCUGGUGUUGAGAACACGAGGUCUUGUCGUUGCGAAUGCCCGGCUCUAAUAAGACUGCUACGGGCAGAGGACAAUGGGUGGUACAUUGCAGAGCACAGAGAGAGUCACAACCAUUCCCUUUCACUGAAUUUGGGUGAGACGAUCCACUAGCCCUCGCACAAGCACAUAGAUGUGUUCGGCUGGUGACUACAUGUUCUCGUCUCUUUGAUCGUUCUUUUUUCAGAUCUGAAACUGCACUGCAUCAGUGGUGAUUGAACUCAAGUUCUCGCCGGAUUUCCAUUGAUUGAGGAGGUGGACGGCACGUAAUGCUUGAGGUGUCCGUCUAGGACACCGGUGGCCGCGGAUGCCAUUGAUGUCCAUCAGGUGUCGACAGCAGCCAUUAGUGCCGAAGGGCAGGUCUGUGAGCUGGCUGCUAGUGUGGGCUCCGGGAAGGAGAGCUCCCCGCCGGAAUUGGAGCUGUCUGCGGGGAAACUCAAUCCGCAAGCACCAUGGUUGGCAAUGAGCAGGAUUCGCAUUGGAUCAGCGAGUCCAUUUAGAGGCAGCGUGGUCAAGUUAGCCGGACUGUGGGCGCCCGCAAUAAUAAAAGAGAUUGGGAGACCAUGCAGACCUGCUCACUGCAAGAACCACGGUGUACAGGGUCACUCGAGAUUUUUUUUGUACAAGCCGGGUGAAAUGAGACUGGGUUCAGGGGCUUGAGUCGGCGUUCAUGCCAAAUGGUUAGACAGUUGGGUUCGAAUUCCCUCCAGUUGUGCAUCACAAAGAGUUUUUAGUUAUGUCAACGUGCGUGUGUUAUUUCUGCUGUAAUGAUCCUCUAUUUCCUUUGUGGACAAAGAAUUGGCUCAAUGGGACUAAUAUGGUACGUGAAUUUUAGACUGAACGACAAUUGAUGUGCAUCUAAACUUCA